GGGAGAAUGCCAGAGUCUGGUCAAAAGGGGCGGACUGUAAAUCCGUUGCCGAAAGGCUGCGUUGGUUCAAAUCCAACUUCUCCCACCA
rnacentral:tRNA from 1 species